CCAGACUCCUACGGGAGGCAGCAGUGGGGAAUAUUGCACAAUGGGGGAAACCCUGACGCAGCGACGCCGCGUGAGCGAUGAAGGACUUCGGGAUGUAAACCGCUAUCAGCAGGGAAGAAGCAGACGGUACCUGCAUAAGAAGCCCCGGCUAACUACGUGCCAGCAGCCGCGGUAAUACGUAGGGGGCAAGCGUUAUCCGGAUUUAUUGGGGGUAAAGGGCGCGUAGGCGGCGGCGCAAGCCAGAUGUGUAAGCCCGGGGCGCAACUCCGGGACUGCGUUCGGAACUGGGUGUCUGGAGUGUCGGAGAGGCAGGCGGAAUUCCUGGUGUAGCGGUGGAAUGCGUAGAUAUUAGGAGGAACACCGAUGGCGAAGGCGGACCGCUGGGC
rnacentral:rRNA from 1 species